AUAACAAUUAAAAUUAUCUAUUAACACUUAUAAUAACCCCCUCCUAAGGGGCAGGUCACAGGUUCAAAUCCUGUUGGGAGCGCCA
rnacentral:tRNA from 1 species